UACGUAGGCAGCAAGCGUUGUUCGGAAUUACUGGGCGUAAAGAGUGUGUAGGCGGUGUUCCAAGUCUGGUGUGAAAUCUCCCGGCUUAACUGGGAGGGUGCAUUAGAAACUGGAAUGCUAGAGGAUGGGAGAGGUAAGCGGAAUUCCUGGUGUAGCGGUGAAGUGCGUAGAUAUCAGGAGGAACACCUGUGGUGUAGACAGCUUACUGGACCAUUUCUGACGCUGAGACACGAAAGCGUGGGUAGCAAACAGG
rnacentral:rRNA from 1 species